rnacentral:rRNA from 1 species
AUUGAACGCUGGCGGCAGGCCUAACACAUGCAAGUCGAACGAGUGGCGGACGGGUGAGUAAUGUCUGGGAAACUGCCCGAUGGAGGGGGAUAACUACUGGAAACGGUAGCUAAUACCGCAUACCAUCGGAUGUGCCCAGAUGGGAUUAGCUAGUGGGUGGGGUAAUGGCUCACCAAGGCGACGAUCCCUAGCUGGUCUGAGAGGAUGACCAGACACACUGGAACUGAGACACGGUCCAGACUCCUACGGGAGGCAGCAGUGGGGAAUAUUGGACAAUGGGCGAAAGCCUGAUGCAGCCAUGCCGCGUGUAUGAAGAAGGCCUUCGGGUUGUAAAGUACUUUCAGCGGGGAGGCGUUACCCGCAGAAGAAGCACCGGCUAACUCCGUGCCAGCAGCCGCGGUAAUAC